GACGAACGCUGGCGGCGUGCUUAACACAUGCAAGUCGAGCGAUGAAGCUCCUUCGGGAGUGGAUUAGCGGCGGACGGGUGAGUAACACGUGGGUAACCUGCCUCAUAGAGGGGAAUAGCCUUUCGAAAGGAAGAUUAAUACCGCAUAAGAUUGUAGCCUCGCAUGAAGCAGCAAUUAAAGGAGUAAUCCGCUAUGAGAUGGACCCGCGUCGCAUUAGCUAGUUGGUGAGGUAACGGCCCACCAAGGCGACGAUGCGUAGCCGACCUGAGAGGGUGAUCGGCCACAUUGGGACUGAGACACGGCCCAGACUCCUACGGGAGGCAGCAGUGGGGAAUAUUGCACAAUGGGGGAAACCCUGAUGCAGCAACGCCGCGUGAGUGAUGACGGUCUUCGGAUUGUAAAACUCUGUCUUCAGGGACGAUAAUGACGGUACCUGAGGAGGAAGCCACGGCUAACUACGUGCCAGCAGCCGCGGUAA
rnacentral:rRNA from 1 species